UCCGUGGAGGACUAGUGGUUAAGCCCCGGCACUCUCGCUGCCGUAGCACGGGUUCGAUUCCUGGCCAGGGAA